GCAUAAUCAUUUGCCUUUUAAUUAAAGGAUAGUAUGAAUGGUUGCACGAAAUUUUUCCUUUAUUAAAUUUAUUAUUAAAACUUACACUCCAUGUGAAGAUGCAUGGAUAAUUUUGAAAGACAAGAAGACCCUAUAGAGUUUAAAUAACUUUAUCCCCCGUAGAAGGAAAAUUAUUUUUGUUGGGGCGACAAAGGAUAAUUAAAAUCAUCCUUAAUCUAAACCGAUAAUAAUUCUUUAUAUUGAUCCAAAAUACGAUUAUUAAAACGAACUACCUUAGGGAUAACAGGCUAAUCUUCUUCCAGAGUUCAUAUCGACAAGAAGGUUUGGCACCUCGAUGUUGGCUUAGAGAAUCCUAUUACCGCAAAAGGUAGUUAGGAUAGUUUGUUCAACUAUUAAUACUCU
rnacentral:rRNA from 1 species